CUGGCGGCGUGCCUAACACAUGCAAGUCGAACGAAGCACUCCGAAUUGAGAUCGUCAAGAUUGGAUUGACUUAGUGGCGGACGGGUGAGUAAUACAUGAGCAACCUGCCCCGGAGUGGGGGACGAACAGUUGGAAACGACUGCUAAUACCGCAUAAUGUAUCCGAAAGGCAUCUUUUGGAUACCAAAGAUUUAUCGCUCUGGGAUGGGCUCAUGUCUGAUUAGCUAGUUGGUGGGGUAACGGCUCACCAAGGCUGCGAUCAGUAGCCGGACUGAGAGGUUGAACGGCCACAUUGGGACUGAGAUACGGCCCAGACUCCUACGGGAGGCAGCAGUGGGGAAUAUUGGGCAAUGGGCGAAAGCCUGAACCCCCAGCAACGCCGCGUGAAGGAAGAAGGCCUUCGGGUUGUAAACUUCUUUUAUGAGGGACGAACAAAUGACGGUACCUCAUGAAUAAGCCACGGCUAACUACGUGCCAGCAGCAGC
rnacentral:rRNA from 1 species